CUGCCAAGCCAAACUCUAAUGAUUUUUUAAGAGAGAAUUAUGUUAAACAUUAUAAAUUUUGCUUAUGAUUUUAUUUUCCCUCAUGCAUUUAACAAAUUACACUAUACAUGUCAUUGUUAAUACAGUUAAUAAUACUUUACAUACUAAGUCAGACACACAUACACUUAAUCAAUGAAAAAGUUCUAAAAUAUUAUGGUAUUAUAAUUGACCUAAUGUCAAAACCCAAAGUAACCUUGUUUAUUACAUAUUUUGUUCUUCUAACAUCCUUUCAUUAUAAUUGACAUAAUGUCAAAACUCCCAAAUAUUAUGGUAUUUUGUUCUUUUAACCAAGUUUUUUUUUUUUUGGUUGAAACAAGAAACAAGUUGAAGAAAGACCCUUUUCAUUAUUUAAACGAGGGGUCCUUUUACAGCUUAACUUAAAUUAAUACUGCUUUAGUUUGUAACUUGAGACAAUGCAUGCAUUAUCAACUAAUGCAUCAUUAAGCCAUGUCCUCACUCUCUUCUUGAUCCCUUAUCCAUUUGAGAGGCCACUUUUUAAUUAAUCACAGAACAUACGUUGUAAUAUGGCUAUGGCCACCAGCGUGGUUGACAAGCCCAGCUGAGUCAGACACACGUCGAUGUGGCUGUACUUUUUUGCUGAUUGUACGUGUUUCCACGGGCCCUCAUACAUUUUUUGGAUUAGUUUGCACUCAAAAGGGAAGACGCUGGCCACUUGUUUCGCAUUAUGAGAAACAUUAGGGUUUCUAUAUAUUAUAUAUAUUCUAGGCACAAUUGAUGGAAAGGAAUGUGUUCAAUUAAUAUAUAUUGGACAUUGAUUUGAUGAUAAAAUUAUAUAUCCAUACGUACCCUAAUGCCAAGUGUUAAUAGUUUAAUAAUUACUCGUUCCAUACAUAUUAUAAGAAAGAAAAGCUAACCCUAUUUAAUUGCCUCCCAUUUUGCUAUUUUAUUUGCUUAACGUGAUGAUACCAAAGAAAAGGCAGGUAAGGGUCAGAAAACAACUAGAAAAUGAAAGGGGAAAGUGCAAGGAACAAUUAAUAUAUGUAAAAGCGGGAAUCUUACAAGAGCCCUUGAAUGAUGAGUUUCACAAGAUCGAAGAAAUUUUAUGCGAACCUGUUUUUUGGUUCAUACAACAACAACGACCUUCUAUUUAAUUUCCUUCUAUUUAAUUUCCACAUCGAUCUUGGUCCUAUGGUUCUUGUCCUUUUCUCAUUAGUAAUCUUCACCCGCAUGGAUUUCCAGCUCCUGCGUGAUCAAUACUACUAAACUACAAGAUGUGCUACCAACCUUUCUUUUAAUUAUGUGUUUAGUCUAUCAUAACAGCCCAACCACCCUUCUUUUUGCCCUAGUAGGAGCAUUGAAAGAAGUAUAUAAUUUAAUCCUGAAUAUCGCAUGCUUCUUUCAUGAAAAAUGGGUGGAGAAUCUGCUCAAAACUAGGUUGAUAAAACAAAAUUCGGUGCUAAACUCUUUUGUUUUUAUUUUUUUUAAAUCAUAAUAAUGGAAUUAAUUAGAGAUGAGACUACCUGGCUACCUUCUUUUCUUUGCCUUUCGGUGCCUGCCUCCGUACUAAGAUAUUCUUUCUCCCUCUCCCCGUUCUUUUAUCUUCCAAGUGAGUGGUGGAAUGU
rnacentral:lncRNA from 1 species